AUUUGCUGUUAAUUUCGAUUUGGAAGUUACUGUUCUUGGUGAUUUUCUAUUUAGUUAUAGUUGUUUCUAUUCAAGUCCUUCUUAUGGCUUAGAAGAGCUGAUUGGUUGAUUUAUUAUGCUUAUUUUGAUUCAUUUUUGUUUUGGGUUGUGUUGACAUCCAUCUCCAGAAGAGUCACUGCUCUACUUAUGCUUACCUAGCUGUCCGCACCAGGAAAUUCAAUUGGAGUGUGAAGGCCAUCAGGAGGAAGACCACCGGGACUAGAAGGAUGUGGUAUCUGUGCAAUGUCCCACGAAGGUUUAAGAGCAGUUUCAGGGAAGGUACAAGCAAGAGCAGUGAUUGUAAGCAUAGUAGUAUCAAAUUAGCCUCGAAGCUUUAUUUUCAUAUGUGCAGAAGAUCAUCUUUUGAGUCUCAUAAGCCUUGAAUUGGAGUGAGUCUUUUGAAUCUUUUAAGAUGGUAUGACAACCACUUAAAUUUGAUAUAGUAAAGCACUUCACUCAAAAAAACACUUGCAGAAAGCACUUCUAUUAAUAGGCAGAAGGUUCUUUCAUCUUGUUUUUACACUACAAAAAAGAAUUGCAUUAGCUUCACCGGUUUGCUUCGGCAAUCAUUUGCCGUCGCCAUUGACAUCUAUUUUGCGUCGGCAAUUGCUGACCAUCGCAAGAGAAUGAAAAAUUUGCAUCCCCUUUUAUGUGCCGUCGCAAUGGCAGUAGCCAAACAUCAACCUAUUACUUUGGCAAACGUUAGCAGUGGCAAAGCUACCUAAAAUUUGCAACCGCAUCGACCUACCGUCGCGUUAGCCAUCCAAAUAUUUAGACGAAAAACAGUUUAUAAGUAUUAUAUGUUAGGCAGAAAAAUCUACUGAACAAAACCUAGCCCCUCUUCGAUGAGAAAAAGCUCUGUCCCUCAGCCAUCUAUCUUGUCCAUCUCGAUCUGUACCAUCCUUUAUAGAUUUCCUACCCCUUAAAUCCAAUUUCUCCUCUCCUCUCUCUUUCUCACCCAUAUAUUCGUAAAUCUCCAGGAGCCUAGAAAGAGCGAUGUACUUAAUUUGCUGGCUAAGAUUGAACUUCUUCACUAGAUUUCUAUCAAAUCCGGUCGACUCACUAGCUAGAAGAUCUACGAACCCAGAUGUUCAUCUAGAAAGAAAUUUGAUGAAACACAAAGGAAAAGGUGAGAUCUACUAAAAUUUGAAUGUGAGUGUUCGUCCAUAUCUUGCGCUAAUUUUUUUUUUUCAUUUUUUUGGUUCAUUUGAGCUGUUCGUGCUUCGAAGUGUUUUCUUAAGAUUCAGAGAACUUCUGUAUAAGCCAGCCAUUUUAGAGAGCAGUUUAGCUCGACACAAUCUUUUGUUAAAUUGGUGAGCUUGAUCCAAAGUUUUAGUCUUUGUAAUGUCUGUAGAUUUGGUGCUAUCCUAUGCAAUGAAUCCUAGGUAAUUUCAAGUAAGUCAUGGACAAAUCUAGUCUCAUUUAUUAAUAGUAUAUGCAUUCAUCAUCCAGUUCGUGUUUACCAAAUUGUGAUCCAAAAUUGUUUUGCUUCAAAUUGUGAUCCAAUAUUAUUUUGGUAUUCUAAAUUGUGAUUUACUUUGUGUUUUUAAUUUUCUGUUACAACAGUAUUAGAGCAUGAUUGCUUUCAUAGCCUAAAAUUGGUUUAUAUUGAUUCUCUGGUUUGUAGUGUUUCCAUGUAUGCAUACUCACAGGUUAUUGUGCUAGACUAGAGAUGUAAGUUAGCUUAUAUUAUUAUACUUAACAUAUUUUUGAUCCAAUAUUUCUCAUUGGCCUGCAUCUAAAGCAUUUCUAAGUUGUUGGACCUCUGUCUUCAGCUAUCUAGAGACAAAUCCAUUUCUUUAUCUCUUUUUUAUUUUAUUUAACUUUAUAUUUCUAUUCCUUAUAUAUGAAACUGAGUUGUGUGCUUUUUUUUAUAUUGGAAGCAAAGUUAGUUUCGAUUUGUACUACGAACUAAAUUCAUAUCAACACUGAGCCAAACAAAAAAAUUAGUUGAAGAAAGGUUCAUCCCUCUCCAACUAUUGGUACGAACUCCUUGACCAGUAGCCAUUAACUUCUAAUUUGUAUCAUGAAACCAUGUUGUGUCUUUUUGGGUUUCUAAGAAAAAUUGGUUUGAAACAAACCUAAAUGCCACAUGUUUUUAGUAAAUUGUUUUGCCUGUGCUUCUUUCUUUUUAUGGUUUUCAGCUUGUCCUCUGUUGUAUAUGUUGUGUUGUACAUGCUUCUUUUUUUUAAUAAAAUUUGUUUGUUAUCAGGAAAAGGGGAAAAAAAAAAAAGACCUACGAGCAAAGAGGAACCAAUGACUGAACCAUGUCGCUUAUAGAUUGUUGAAUUUAGUUCUAGCAUGAUAGAGAGUAGUACCAAGAUCAGUCUUCUGCUCAAACUGGGGUUGCAUUAGCUGAGUCACCAAAUGAGGCUCUUUCUCUUAAUUGCAUACCUGAUAUGGUGCUGCAUGAUUGACCAAAGAUAAAUUCAAGGGUUUGAUGUCAUCUUCAGAAUCUAGUGAAGAUGGAGGAAAUGAAGUAUUCUGAUUACCAGUUUUCCAGUACAUUAACUAUAUGUAAUUUAAUUUUGUAAAUUUAUGUAUUUGAACAUUGG